GACGAACGCUGGCGGCGUGCCUAAUACAUGCAAGUCGAGCGGACAGAUGGGAGCUUGCUCCCUGAUGUUAGCGGCGGACGGGUGAGUAACACGUGGGUAACCUGCCUGUAAGACUGGGAUAACUCCGGGAAACCGGGGCUAAUACCGGAUGUUUGUUUGAACCGCAUGGUUCAAACAUAAAAGGUGGCUUCGGCUACCACUUACAGAUGGACCCGCGGCGCAUUAGCUAGUUGGUGAGGUAAUGGCUCACCAAGGCAACGAUGCGUAGCCGACCUGAGAGGGUGAUCGGCCACACUGGGACUGAGACACGGCCCAGACUCCUACGGGAGGCAGCAGUAGGGAAUCUUCCGCAAUGGACGAAAGUCUGACGGAGCAACGCCGCGUGAGUGAUGAAGGUUUUCGGAUCGUAAAGCUCUGUUGUUAGGGAAGAACAAGUACCGUUCGAAUAGGGCGGUACCUUAACGGUAC
rnacentral:rRNA from 1 species